rnacentral:rRNA from 1 species
AGAGGGUGCGAGCGUUAAUCGGAAUUACUGGGCGUAAAGGGCGCGUAGGCGGUGUCAUGUGAGUGAUGUGAAAGCCCUGGGCUUAACCUAGGAAGAGCAUCGCUAACUAUGAAACUAGAGUAUAUGAGAGGGUGGCGGAAUUUCCGGUGUAGCGGUGAAAUGCGUAGAGAUCGGAAGGAACGUCGAUGGCGAAGGCAGCCACCUGGCAUAAUACUGACGCUGAGGCGCGAAAGCGUGGGGAGCGAACAGGAUUAGAUACCCUGGUAGUCCACGCUGUAAACGAUGAAGACUAGAUGUUGGUAGGGGAACCUAUCGGUAUCGAAGCUAACGCGAUAAGUCUUCCGCCUGGGAAGUACGGCCGCAAGGUUG